rnacentral:lncRNA from 1 species
CCUUGACGCCACUACUCUCUGUAACAAACUCCACAUGGCCCCGAACGGCCCACUACCAGACAGUUACAGACAUCACUGUCAAUCAGUUACGCUCUCCGUCUAUAAAAGGGGACCCCCAGAUACGUUCUUCUCUAAGCUCUAAACUCUCUCUUGAAACUCUACUAAAAUCUCAUUUGAGUACUCCAUUUCUGUUGAGGCAGAGUACUGACUUGAGCAUCGGAGGAUCUUGUCAGAGCACCCCCAACUCCAGUUUAGACUUUCCUUGUAGGUCCCGGUGGCGGACGCGAUCCCCUCAGCUUCUCCGACGUCGGCAGAAUUCUGCACCAACAGAAUUGGCACUAGAGGAAGGGCUUGUGUCUUCGCAGUACCCUUGUUCUUAAAGGAGUACUCAACGGGGCUAUCUUCGAUCAUCUUCUUCGACACUUUCUCCUUCUUCUCC